rnacentral:misc_RNA from 1 species
GAUGAAGAACGUAGCGAAAUGCGAUAAGUAGUGUGAAUUGCAGAUUUCAGUGAAUCAUCGAAUCUUUGAACGCACAUUGCGCCCUUUGGUAUUCCUUAGGGCAUGCCUGUUCGAGCGUCAUUUAAACCUUCAAGCUCAGCUUGGUGAUGGGUGACUGUCCGCUGCCUCCCCCCGGGGUGCGCCGCGGACUCGCCUCAAAUUUAUUGGCGGCCGGUACGUUGGCUUCGAGCGCAGCAGAAACGCGUAACUCGAGGUCUCCGUGGCGGCUCCCACAAGCAACCUUCAUUAUUUUGACCUCGGAUCAGGUAGGGAUAACCGCUGAACUUAAGCAUAUCAAUAAGCGGAGGA